rnacentral:rRNA from 1 species
AUGGCAGGUUUUGUGAUUUUGUGUUGGAAUUGUCGAGGAUUGGGGACGGAUUCCACAGUUGGCGAGCUGCGCUGGUUGGUGCAGACCUAUCGCCCAUCUCUCCUUUUCUUGUCUGAGACAAAGAUGGCAGAGAAAAGGGUGAGAAACUUCAUGUGUUCACUGGGAUUUUCAAAUUCUUAUGCAGUACGUAGUGAGGGCCAAAGUGGAGGCUUAUGUUUGUUU